rnacentral:lncRNA from 1 species
CGGACGCCUUGUCUUCGCCCGUCCAGAGGAAACCGCGUCGUCGCCUAUCAAAUUGUGAGAUCACGCCGGGCGGUAGCGGGAUCGCGCUGAUCAGGUAGGAAAGCUAUCCAUCCAGCACGGUGUUGAUGAGAACCGUUCUCCCCAUUGCAUUGAGCAGGGAUGCUUGCCAUCCGGCGAGAUAUCUAUCAGCCCGGCUGAUGUACGGGUCAAAGGCAGCGAUCCGCAGCUUGUCG